rnacentral:rRNA from 2 species
UGGCGUCUUCGGCGUCCGCAUUGUAAUCUCAAGAAGUGUUUUCCGCUUCGGACCAUGCCUAAGUCCCUUGGAAAAGGGCAUCAUAGAGGGUGAUAAUCCCGUACAUGGCAUGGAGCGCCCGAAGCUUUGUGAUACGCUUUCUAAGAGUCGAGUUGUUUGGGAAUGCAGCUCAAAAUGGGUGGUAAAUGCCAUCUAAGGCUAAAUAUUGGGGAGAGACCGAUAGCGAACAAGUACAGUGAUGGAAAGAUGAAAAGAACUUUGAAAAGAGAGUUAAACAGUACGUGAAAUUGCCAAAAGGGAAGGGUAGGAGGUCAGAGAUGCGGCCUGGGAUUCAGCCUUGCUUUUGCUUGGUGUUUUUCCCAGAUUGCAGGCCAACGUCGGUUUUGGGCACUGGAGAAGGGUAGGAGGAACGUGGCACCUCUCGGGGUGUGUUAUAGCCUCCUACUGGAUACAGCGACCGAGACCGAGGACAGCAGCGUACUCGCAAGAGCGGGCCUUCGGGCACCUUUACGCUUAGGGCGUUGGCAUAAUGGCCCUCUACCACC